rnacentral:rRNA from 1 species
UACGUAGGGGGCAAGCGUUGUCCGGAAUUACUGGGCGUAAAGGGCGCGUAGGCGGUCCUGAUCGUCGGAUGUGAAAGGCCUGGGCUCAACCUGGGAACUGCAUCCGAUACGGCGGGACUGGAGUGUGGGAGAGGUUGGUGGAAUUCCCAGUGUAGAGGUGAAAUUCGUAGAUAUUGGGAAGAACACCGGUGGCGAAGGCGGCCAACUGGACCACAACUGACGCUGAGGCGCGAAAGCGUGGGGAGCAAACAGG